rnacentral:rRNA from 1 species
AUGUACACGAGCUUGCGCGGGUCCGUGGAGACCUCGCUGACGCCCGCGGCAUCCAACUCUGCAAUAGUGCUCGGUGACCAGGCCGUCAAUGCUACAGGAUGGUUGUUAGCCGGCUUGGAGGCCCUGGUGGCUGGCGACAUGACGGUUGGUGCCAGCGGCCUACGCCGAGAGCAGCAAGCAGAAGGCCGGGAGGGGUUGUGCUUGACGGCGGCGGGCGGCGGCCUCUCUGGAGUGGGGAAGGCGGCGGCACUAGCAUGGCGUGCGGAGGCAAAGGAGCCACGGGAGGGGAAAUUCGAGGCCGGGGUCGACCGGAACGACAGCGGGGCUUGGUGGAGCUCGGCGGCCUGGUUCCACGGGCGUGGACAAGGACGGCGGCGGGAGGAGACGUGA